UCAGUAGUUGAAGUUCUUUGAAAUAACCAAUUCCUCCUAGAUUGAUCUUUUCAGAGUCUUAUUGAAACAGUUAAUAAUUCACUGUUAAUCGAAUAACACAUUCUAAGUAAUUCUUUAUAUAAUACUGAGUUUUAGCGAAAGUAAAUAUGGAUGAAAACAAAUCGUUAGAAAAUGCUAGUGAAAAAGCUAAAUCCAAAAAGAAGAAAUAUUCUCGUACAAGGCAACGGCAACACGGAAGUGAUCCAACGAUAUCUACAAAUGAUCUUUCGCAAAAAUUCGAGGCACUCAAAAUAUGUGAUGCAUCUGUUAAAAAGAAUCGUAUUUUUGGUUUACAACCAAAUUUCGGAAAAUUCAAGCCUGUAAUUUUUCUUUCUCAAUAUUAUCUAACGGAAGAAAUAAAAUUGGCUCAUAGUAAAAAUUUCGCUCCACGUUUUUUGACUAAAAACAAACCAUUUUUGAAAGACUUCUUAGAUUGUUGUCAACUUCAACCUGAUUACGUAAAAGAAAAACUAAGAAUGAUGCUACAAAUCGAAGAUAUACAUACUAUGCAGCUUUAUUGUAAAUUAUAUCAAACAAAUUUGACGAUAAACGAUUCUGGUUACUUACUAAGCUUCGAGAUGCAAAAGCAGAAAAAUUGCAAUUUCAUGGAUAUAGUUAGUGUGAAAAUGGAUGAGGUUGUCUUUGUACCUCUAUUGAGCACAAGGGAGGCGAAAAACCAAAUUCGUUACCCUGUAGAUCUAUUGCAGGUCCAUAAACAUGAAUAUGAAAGUGACGCCGAUAUUAGACGUCAUGUUAGAACGUUAGAAAAAUUUGAAAAAGAUACAGCGUAUGUUAAUAAAUACGAAAACAUAAAAGAAAAAAAUAAUGAAAAGAAAAAGAAAUCACCAAAACCACCACCACCUUUUGAUUUAAAAAAGAAAUAUAAUGUAAUUAUACGUCCCAAUCGAUACAAUUUUCGUGUUCAAUAUCGUGCAUUGGAAUUGCUUGAUAAGGUUGGUACGAAAUACAUUUUUCCCACUAAAAGUUUGCCAAAAGUGGAAGCCGUCAACAAUUUUAAUUUGGAAAUCAUCAAUGAACACAUAUGCGAAAAUCCCGAACAGUUACAAGCUGUGCGGCGAAUUGUUAAUGGUGCAAAUCCCUACGCUCCAUAUAUAAUCGUUGGUCCGCCAGGUACUGGCAAAACAACAACAAUCGUAGAAGCCAUACUACAAAUUUAUAUACAUGAACCAAACUCACGUAUUUUGAUUACAACAAGUUCAAAUUCGGCUUGCGACACUGUUACACUAAAAAUAUGCGAAUACUUUGAAAAUAAUCAAAAACUAAUUGAAAUAUCCGAAAAGCGUAACGGUUACGACCUAAAUUCCAAACCUAAAAUACCUCAAAAUAUAUUACGGGUAUUUUCGAAGUCAUGGAUCAAAAGAUUUGGCAUUAAAAAUUUGAAUCCUAUAUUGCGUUGCAAUUCGAAUAUCUGUGAUGAGAACUGUUCCUGGCCCUCUGUUCACGUUUUGCAAAAUUAUAGCAUGAUUGCUGUUACACUUUCUUCCAUGGGUCAUUUACUCACCGGAAUAGAAGGACAUUGGCCCUUUACGCACAUUUUUAUAGAUGAAGCGGGAGCUGCUACUGAAAUAGAAACACUAAUUGCUAUAACAAGUGUUGACACAAACAAAUGUCGAGUUAUCUUGUCAGGCGAUACAAAACAAUUGGGUCCCGUGGUGAUGUCAAAAGUUGCUAGUAAAUGUGGACUUAAGCAUUCACUUAUGGAACGUUUACAAGCUUGUGACUAUUACAAGGUUGAAAAAGAUGGCACAUACGAUGAUGGUGCACAAACACGUUUACGUCGAAAUUAUCGUUCACAUCCGAACAUUUUGCAAUUGUUUAAUCAUUUAUACUACAAUGAUGAAUUGAUUGCUGAAGUUGAAAUGGGUAGUCUCAUAAAUUUCAAUAAUCUAGCGUUUCUCAAAAAUAAAAAAUUUCCCAUAAUUUUCGAAUCUGUAUAUGGUACUCUCAGUCAGGAUAUAACAUCAUGCAGCUCGUAUAAUAAACAAGAAGCUUAUAAAGUUAUCAGCAUUAUCACGAAAUUGAAAGAUCAUGUCGAUCUUAAUAAAAUUGGGGUGAUAUCACCUUAUAGAUUACAAUGUGACCGAUUAAAAGAUAUGUUGCGCAGACGAAACUUGCAAGGUAUUGAAGUUGGUACGGCGGAAAUUUUUCAAGGUCGAGAAAAACAUGUCAUCAUCACAUCGUUUGUUAAAUCAUUUUGCCAUUUGGGCUUUGUAACGGAUCCACAGAUUUAUGUUUUUGGGCAAGAUUAUUUGCCGAAACUUUUAAGAAGUUAAUUUUAAUUAAUGGACAAUUACUUUACAACACUCAUGACAACUGUCGAAAGCAUCUGAAAAGAAAACGAAAUGAAAUGUAAAAUUAAUUAUGGCGUUUGAAUGUCAUGCUGUCGCGAGCUCAAUCGUUGCUUAUACUCGUUGGAAAUCCCAAAACAUUGGCGAAAAACAAUGAUUUCAUGUAUCUCA
rnacentral:misc_RNA from 1 species